UACGUAGGUGGCAAGCGUUGUCCGGAUUUACUGGGCGUAAAGCGAACGCAGGCGGACCUUUAAGUAGGAAGUGAAAGGUUGGAGCUCAACUCUAACACUGCUCCCUAUACUGGAGGUCUUGAGUGCCGGAGAGGAAGACGGAACAAGUUGUGUAGCGGUGAAAUGCGUUGAUAUAACUUGGAACACCAAUGGCGAAAGCAGUCUUCUGGACGGAUACUGACGCUCAGGUUCGAAAGCCAAGGUAGCAAACAG
rnacentral:rRNA from 1 species